CAUGAUAGGCUGAUAGUCUUGAGUCUUUUCGUUUAGAGAUGUGCCUGGAAUCUCAUUCGAGGAUGAAUGAUCCCAAGGGGGAGAUACUGUAACACCCCGAAACCUAGCAAUCUAAACUAGGGCUAUGUGUGUGCAGGUGGCAUGCCAUGGAAGAGGGAAAGAGCCUAAGAGGCCUAAGAAAUUGUUGAAGGAAACCAUUUUUUCUGCCCCAG
rnacentral:lncRNA from 1 species